rnacentral:tRNA from 1 species
GCCUAUAGCUCAGCUGGUUAGAGUGCACCCCUGAUAAGGGUGAGGUCACAAGUUCAAGUCUUGUUAGGC